UUAGUCUGCUGAUGAAACCUUGUGCUUCCU
rnacentral:piRNA from 1 species